rnacentral:rRNA from 1 species
CAGCAGCCGCGGGAAAACGGAGGGUGCAAGCGUUAAUCGGAAUUACUGGGCGUAAAGCGCACGCAGGCGGUUUGUUAAGUCAGAUGUGAAAUCCCCGAGCUUAACUUGGGAACUGCAUUUGAAACUGGCAAGCUAGAGUCUUGUAGAGGGGGGUAGAAUUCCAGGUGUAGCGGUGAAAUGCGUAGAGAUCUGGAGGAAUACCGGUGGCGAAGGCGGCCCCCUGGACAAAGACUGACGCUCAGGUGCGAAAGCGUGGGGAGCAAACAGGAUUAGAUACCCCUGUAGUCCCUGUCUCUUAUAC